UGCAGUCGACGGCAGCGCGAGAGAGCUUGCUCUCUUGGCGGCGAGUGGCGGACGGGUGAGUAAUAUAUCGGAACGUGCCCAGUAGCGGGGGAUAACUACUCGAAAGAGUGGCUAAUACCGCAUACGCCCUACGGGGGAAAGGGGGGGAUCGCAAGACCUCUCACUAUUGGAGCGGCCGAUAUCGGAUUAGCUAGUUGGUGGGGUAAAGGCUCACCAAGGCAACGAUCCGUAGCUGGUUUGAGAGGACGACCAGCCACACUGGGACUGAGACACGGCCCAGACUCCUACGGGAGGCAGCAGUGGGGAAUUUUGGACAAUGGGGGAAACCCUGAUCCAGCCAUCCCGCGUGUAUGAUGAAGGCCUUCGGGUUGUAAAGUACUUUUGGCAGAGAAGAAAAGGUAUCCCCUAAUACGGGAUACUGCUGACGGUAUCUGCAGAAUAAGCACCGGCUAACUACGUGCCAGCAGCCGCGGUAAUACGUAGGGUGCAAGCGUUAAUCGGAAUUACUGGGCGUAAAGCGUGUGUAGGCGGUUCGGAAAGAAAGAUGUGAAAUCCCAGGGCUCAACCUUGGAACUGCAUUUUUAACUGCCGAGCUAGAGUAUGUCAGAGGGGGGUAGAAUUCCACGUGUAGCAGUGAAAUGCGUAGAUAUGUGGAGGAAUACCGAUGGCGAAGG
rnacentral:rRNA from 1 species